CCGUGACGUCAUUUGACAGCUCGCGUGCACUGUUUACAUAGACUUGGUCGUUUUCGAAACGAAAAGUGCGGGGUAUUUUUUUUAUUCAAAGUCGGUCGAAAUUGCAAAGCUAAGCGGAAACCGAAGGCGAAGUGGGCGGCAAACUUGUUUACAUGACCUGCUCGCUGAACCCGAAUGAAAACGAAUCCGUGCUGCUGGCGGAGAUGGUCGAGCAAUGCCUCGUUCCGACGCUCAAGCAAAGCCCUGGGAACCGACCACCAAGGACAUGCAAAUCCCGGAAAACUACCGCACCGUCUUCCGACCGCUUAUGCUCCAGCUCCAGCUCCCGAGGACUUAGUCAAGUUCAACCGAUUCAACCUCGCCCUCCUCCACCAACAAAACACCGGCAGAUUCUUCAUCGUCCUGUUUGAAAGAAAAAGAAGCUGCUCUCGGAGGAUUUCCAUCAAAAACCGCCGUCGAAGGCCUGCGUAGCGGAACCACCCCAAAAGAAGCUAAAACGCUACCACCGCAACCCGCUCAACCUCCUGACUCGGUGCCGCGAAGACAAAAAGAAGAACAUUUACUGGCCCAGGAGGGUGGAGACCAAGACCUUUUUGCAUUUCGGAUUGACCGUACUUCGGUUGCUGGUCAACUACAGUCUAGCGGACCAUGUCGUCAGGGUUGUUACGGAGAAGCCGAAAACAAAAUCCGCGCGAACUCCGCGCCACAUAAAAAAAAUACACAGAGUUUCAUAA